AUUGAACGCUGGCGGCAGGCCUAACACAUGCAAGUCGAGCGAGCGGCGGACGGGUGAGUAAUGUAUGGGGUCUGUCAGAUAGAGGGGGAUACCUACUGGAAAUGGUAGCUAAUACCGCAUACUACCGGACAACCUAUAAGGGAUUAGCUAGUAGGUGGGGUAAUGGCUCACCUAGGCGUCUAUCCCUAGCUGGUCUGAGAGGAUGAUCCGCCACACUGGGACUGAGACACGGCCCAGACUCCUACGGAGGCAGCAGUGGGGAAUAUUGCACAAUGGGCGCAAGCCUGAUGCAGCCAUGCCGCGUGUAUGAAGAAGGCCCUAGGGUUGUAAAGUACUUUCAGUCGGGAGGCGUUACCGACAGAAGAAGCACCGGCUAACUCCGUGCCAGCAGCCGCGGUAAUUC
rnacentral:rRNA from 1 species